rnacentral:rRNA from 1 species
UACGUAGGGUGCAAGCGUUGUCCGGAAUUAUUGGGCGUAAAGAGCUCGUAGGCGGUUUGUCGCGUCUGCUGUGAAAACUCGGGGCUUAACUCCGGGCCUGCAGUGGGUACGGGCAGACUAGAGUGCGGUAGGGGAGACUGGAAUUCUCGGUGUAGCGGUGAAAUGCGUAGAUAUCGAGAGGAACACCUGCGGCGAAGGCGGGUUGCUGGGCUGACACUGACGCUGAUGCGCGAAAGCCAGGGGAGCGAACGGG